UAAUUGAUGGGGUUAGACUUCGGUCGAAGCUCUUGAUCGAAGCCCCGGUAAACGGCGGCCGUAACUAUAACGGUCCUAAGGUAGCGAAAUUCCUUGUCGGGUAAGUUCCGACCUGCACGAAUGGCGUAAUGAUGGCCACGCUGUCUCCACCCGAGACUCAGUGAAAUUGAAAUCGCUGUGAAGAUGCAGUGUACCCGCGGCUAGACGGAAAGACCCCGUGAACCUUUACUACAGCUUGGCACUGAACAUUGACCCUACAUGUGUAGGAUAGGUGGGAGGCUUUGAAGCAGGUACGCCAGUAUCUGUGGAGCCGUCCUUGAAAUACCACCCUUGUAGUGUUGAUGUUCUAACGUCGACCCCUUAUCGGGGUUGCGGACAGUGCCUGGUGGGUAGUUUGACUGGGGCGGUCUCCUCCCAAAGAGUAACGGAGGAGCACGAAGGUGGGCUAAUCACGGUUGGACAUCGUGAGGUUAGUGCAAUGGCAUAAGCCCGCUUGACUGCGAGAAUGACAAUUCGAGCAGGUGCGAAAGCAGGUCAUAGUGAUCCGGUGGUUCUGAAUGGAAGGGCCAUCGCUCAACGGAUAAAAGGUACUCCGGGGAUAACAGGCUGAUACCGCCCAAGAGUUCAUAUCGACGGCGGUGUUUGGCACCUCGAUGUCGGCUCAUCACAUCCUGGGGCUGAAGUCGGUCCCAAGGGUAUGGCUGUUCGCCAUUUAAAGUGGUACGCGAGCUGGGUUUAGAACGUCGUGAGACAGUUCGGUCCCUAUCUGCCGUGGGCGUUGGAAGAUUGAAGGGGGCUGCUCCUAGUACGAGAGGACCGGAGUGGACGAACCUCUGGUGUUCGGGUUGUGUCGCCAGACGCAUUGCCCGGUAGCUAAGUUCGGAAUCGAUAACCGCUGAAAGCAUCUAAGCGGGAAGCGAGCCCUGAGAUGAGUCUUCCCUGAUACUUUAAGUAUCCUAAAGGGUUGUCGGAGACUACGACGUUGAUAGGUCAGGUGUGUAAGUGCUGUGAGGCAUUGAGCUAACUGAUACUAAUUGCCCGUGAGGCUUAACCAUACAACACCCAAGGGGUUU
rnacentral:rRNA from 1 species